rnacentral:tRNA from 1 species
GCUCCUAUAGUUCAAUGGAUAGAAUAACUCUCUCCUAAAGAGUAGAUACAGGUUCAAUUCCUGUUGGGAGUA